GAUGAAGAACGCAGCGAAAUGCGAUAAGUAAUGUGAAUUGCAGAAUUCAGUGAAUCAUCGAAUCUUUGAACGCAUCUUGCGCUCCUUGGUAUUCUGAGGAGCAUGCCUGUUUGAGUGUCAUUAAAUUCUCAACUACACUGACUUUGAAUUGGUGUGGCUUGGAUUUGGGGGGAAAAUUGUUGUGGGCUUUUUGUAUAGUCUGCUCCCCUGAAAUUGAUUAGCGGUACCUUUGUGGAACUGUCUACAGGUGUGAUAAUUAUCUACAUCUUAGACAUCUGCUGGAAUGCUGCUUUCUAAACCUUACUUGUAUUGACAAUCUUGACCUCAAAUCAGGUAGGACUACCCGCUGAACUUAAGCAUAUCAAUAAGCGGAGGAA
rnacentral:misc_RNA from 1 species